AGCGAAACGCGAUAGGUAAUGUGAAUUGCAGAAUUCCGUGAAUCAUCGAAUCUUUGAACGCACCUUGCGCUCUGUGGUAUUCCGCAGAGCAUGCCUGUUUGAGUGCCGUGAAAUCUCUCCCCCCAAGUGGUGUUUGUAUAGGACGCUACGCGGCGGCGGAGGUUGGAUGAGCGUCGUGCCUACCGCGCUUGGUAGGCUCGCUCGAAAAGCAUGAGCGCUUGAGAACACUUGUCGCCUGUGAGAGGCAGGCGGGCAGAACAGGUGAGCGAAUGCUUCUCCUCCGGAGAAGCGCCCACCGGUCUGCGUGUGCGCAUGGCAUGAUACGUUCCUUGCUAUGUGUGGCGCGCAAACCCCAUCUGGGUUAGUAGCUUCUUGCUUCUGGCGUGAUCUCGUGUGCGCUUCGAAUCGCACAGCCCUCUCUUCACUUCUGGCCUCAAAUCAGGUAGGAUCACCCGCUGAACUUAAGCAU
rnacentral:rRNA from 1 species